GAUUUACAGUUUAAGUAACAGAAUUAGGCAUUUUUAAUGGACACAGAAAGUGUUGAUGUCUGUGCAUGAUUUUAAAGCAAGUUCUGGCUAAAUACAUUUUGUCCAUAAAAUGGGCGUCAUAUGGUGUGACAUUACAAUCUGUAUUUUGAACGGGCAAUAAUUUGGACAUCAUUAUGAUGAAGAGGUCCACACUCAACCAGGAAGCUGCAGUGUCCUCUCUGGAGUGGUUUGGAAGGUGAACUGGCAGAAAUGUCAAGUAAAGAGAGGACACGAAAAUACAAGGAAAGACUCAAUGCUGACCAUGCAAGGAGAGAGGAGGUCCUGAGGGAAAGGAGGAAAAAGUAAAAAGGGAAGAAACAAAGAGGACAACUCAAGGCAUUCAGUGUGCACACCCUUCUUCCUUCAAGACAAGAGAAAAUGAGAGAGAUGUGGA